CUCACUGUGUAGGCCCUUAAGUAGGUCUUCUUGGCUUUUACAGUGUGCAGUGAAAAUUCUUAUCUCAGCACUAUAAUAGCAUAACAAGUCACGUGAAGAGUGGCAUUCCUGAUGUCAGACGUGCUGCAAAUAUUCAGGGCACCUGGCAUUCUUUUCCCAACUUUCAUUCGAUUAUCUUUUCAGAUACUACAGAUCCUUGGUUAUAACCAAGUUGAGUUCCUUUGAAAAUUUUCUCCAAGCCACAGCUAAUGAAUGAGUCCUUUUGCAAACCUGACUGCUAAUUUUUCAGCAUUAAUUUGCACAGUGAUAUUGCCUUGGAUUCAUUACAUUACAGAAGAAGGGGACGACAGAGAAUGAGAUGGCUGGAUGGAGUCACUGAAGCAGUAGGUGUGAACUUAAAUGGACUCCAGAAGAUGGUAGAGGAAGACCUGGAGGAAUGUUGUCCAUCAGACACGACUUCGCAAUUAACAACAACAUUAAAUCUGUGCCAGUUGCACAGGGUGCUUUCUGGUUUUUCUCCUUUGGAAAAUACUGCAAUAGUAUUUCCAAAUUUAAUCAAAAAUAUUUUAUUGUGAAGAUAAAAUUGUAUAACUGCCUAGAGUACAGCUGUCAAGCAAACCACGACAUAUAUCGAAAUUAACAAAAUACGUUAUUUUUUGGAUUUUUAAACUACAAAGCCAAAGUCUAUUUUAACUUACUAUUAAAUUUAUUAUUUUUAAAACAAGUUUCCUUUGAAAAGGAACUAGAAAAAGUACUGAUUUUUUUUAAAGAAGUUUCUUCCUUUAUGGAAUGAUAAAAUGUAAACACUUUUGCAAGGCAGAAACUUAAUCAAUAACAUAAGCAAAAUGUAAAUCAAAGAUUUCACUGACUGCGGGUAGCCAGUUUAAACUGUACUUUUGUCCAUAAUAUCAAUCUAUGUAUAUCUAAAUUAUAUUAAAAACCUUUAAAUGAUUUUGUAAUACCAGCUAUUAUUAUAAUUAAAGCAUUUUAUAAA